UACGUAGGGUGCAAGCGUUGUCCGGAAUUAUUGGGCGUAAAGAGCUCGUAGGCGGUCUGUCGCGUCGGCUGUGAAAGCUCGGGGCUCAACCCCGAGCCUGCAGUCGAUACGGGCAGACUAGAGUGCUGUAGGGGAGACUGGAAUUCCUGGUGUAGCGGUGAAAUGCGCAGAUAUCAGGAGGAACACCGGUGGCGAAGGCGGGUCUCUGGGCCGAUACUGACGCUGAGGAGCGAAAGCGUGGGGAGCGAACAGG
rnacentral:rRNA from 1 species